rnacentral:rRNA from 1 species
UGGGGAAUAUUGGACAAUGGGCGCAAGCCUGAUCCAGCCAUGCCGCGUGAGUGAUGACGGCCUUAGGGUUGUAAAGCUCUUUCACCCACGACGAUAAUGACGGUAGUGGGAGAAGAAGCCCCGGCUAACUUCGUGCCAGCAGCCGCGGUAAUACGAAGGGGGCUAGCGUUGUUCGGAUUUACUGGGCGUAAAGCGUACGUAGGCGGAUCGUUAAGUCAGAGGUGAAAUCCCGGAGCUCAACUUCGGAAUUGCCUUUGAUACUGGCGAUCUUGAGUUCGGGAGAGGUGAGUGGAACUGCUAGUGUAGAGGUGAAAUUCGUAGAUAUUAGCAAGAACACCAGUGGCGAAGGCGGCUCACUGGCCCGAUACUGACGCUGAGGUACGAAAGCGUGGGGAGCAAACA